rnacentral:rRNA from 1 species
AAGACCGUGAGGUGGAGCAAAACUCAAAAACUUAGUCUCAGUUCGGAUUGUAGGCUGAAACUCGCCUACAUGAAGCUGGAGUUGCUAGUAAUCGCGAAUCAGCAUGUCGCGGUGAAUACGUUCCCGGGCCUUGUACACACCGCCCGUCACACCAUGAGAGUUGGCAAUACCCAACGUACGUGAUCUAACCCGCAAGGGAGGAAGCGUCCUAAGGUAGGGUCAGCGAUUGGGGUGAAGUCGUAACAAGGUAAC